GGCCUUGUAGUCUAGAGGUACGAUACUUGCUUUGGGCGCUUAAAUGCAAGUGGCCUGGGUUCGAUUCCCAGCAAGGCCC
rfam:Pisolithus microcarpus 441 unplaced genomic scaffold scaffold_11, whole genome shotgun sequence.